AUUGAACGCUGGCGGCAGGCCUAACACAUGCAAGUCGAACAAGUGGCGGACGGGUGAGUAAUGUCUGGGAAACUGCACGAUGGAGGGGAAUAACUACUGGAAAGGGUAGCUAAUACCGCAUACCAUCGGAUGUGCCCAGAUGGGAUUAGCUAGUAGUGGGGGUAAGGGCUCACUUAGGCGACGAUCCCUAGCUGGUCUGAGAGGCUGACAAGCCACACUGGAACUGUGACACGGUCCAGACUCCUACGGGAGGCAGCAGUGGGGAAUAUUGCACAAUGGGCGCAAGCCUGAUGCAGCCAUGCCGCGUGUAUGAAGAAGGCCUUCGGGUUGUAAAGUACUUUCAGUGAGGAGGCGUUACUCGCAGAAGAAGCACCGGCUAACGCCGUGCCAGCAGCCGCGGUAAGUC
rnacentral:rRNA from 1 species